rnacentral:ribozyme from 2 species
ACAUGAACUAAGUCCACCAAUAUAAUGCCAUACAUUAUAUCUAAUAGGCCAUGUGCUUACCCAAAACAAGUUCUUCUCUUGACUGUGGUGCUAAGCCAUGAUUCUCAUGACUUGUGUUUGGAAAUAACUGGAAUAGGAGUCUGGGGAUCCUGCCACCCAGGCCUAA